rnacentral:tRNA from 1 species
GGAGAGGUGCCAGAGUGGUUGAAUGGGGCGGUCUCGAAAACCGUUGUAUGGCAUUGCUAUACCGAGGGUUCGAAUCCCUCUCUCUCCGCCA